rnacentral:rRNA from 1 species
CGGCACGGGUGAGUAACACGUAUCCAACCUGCCGUCUACUCUUGGCCAGCCUUCUGAAAGGAAGAUUAAUCCAGGAUGGCAUCAUGAGUUCACAUGUCCGCAUGAUUAAAGGUAUUUUCCGGUAGACGAUGGGGAUGCGUUCCAUUAGAUAGUAGGCGGGGUAACGGCCCACCUAGUCAACGAUGGAUAGGGGUUCUGAGAGGAAGGUCCCCCACAUUGGAACUGGGACACGGUCCAA